CUAGGGCAAGAGAAAGGGAAAGUCUCGAUCGCAACGAGGGCGAGAGAAAGGAUCGCAGCGAGGGCGAAAACAAGCACGGAUUAGUUGUUAGUCAAACUCGACAAGACAUCGCAUCUCGUGCCUACGUAUCUCAUCUGGACAUGAGAAUCAGAGUUGCCGUAGUUCGGCUGGCUGGGAAAAAGGACUCGAUUGCAACUUGGGCA
rnacentral:lncRNA from 1 species